AUUUUUAAUAAAGAGCAACUAGGAAACAUUUUUUUAAAAUUAGCAUUUUUGUUUUUAUUGCAAAAAUAAUAUCUUUCCCAAAAAGCUUAAUGUUGCACAUAAUACAAUUCUGUUCUCGACAAAUUAAUUUUUUUAUAAAUUUAAUUUUUCUCUGAGAAAAAUAAUUUUUAAAUAAAAACAAACAUUCCGACAUUAAUGUAGAAUAAAAACGAAUAUUUAUAAAUUUUUCAUAAAAAGACAGCGUUACCUACAGUUCUGGGAUCACUAAUGCUCGACGUAAAAAUCAACGAUGUUGUUCGCAGGGAAAUCGAUGACAAGUUGUGAUACCGCAAAGAGAUGCACUCCAUAAACUUUUUUAAUGAGGGGAUAAAGAGUAGAGGACUUUUUAAGAUUUCAAGAAACUUUUAUGAAUAGGAAUCAAUCGAAUAUGAGUUACCCUGGUUUAUGGGCCAAAGAGUAAUUAUGUAGAACGCUCAAGCAUGAUAAUAUUGCUGCGGUAAAAGUUUUGACAUUCUAGUGACCAGCUUUUCUAAACGUCCAAUAUAAUUCCCUAAUAGUUUAAUAUAAUUAUUUUCAGACCUGUAUCUCGACAAAAUCGCUCCUUCCGUGUUUCUACACGUCACGCACCGCGAUAUUUCAUUAUUAUCGAUUUUUCUAUUAUCAGAAUCGCUUUGAGCAGCGCGCGUUGGGCGAUGCAUGCUUGAGGCGUGCACUCAUAGACUUGACCAACUUAGAGCACGCCCAAGGUGAGGAGUAGCAGCAGAUAGGAGGAGGUCGACGAGCUACGUACGAGGUACUACGGAAAGUGAAGUGUAACACUAUGUGUAGAACAUAAUAACAUUAUACUGCUAACUAACUUCACCGAUGUACUGCCUGCUAUAUCAACCUUGCCUGUAUCUUUAGACGUUUAACGCGUAGCCAGUGAGAGUUUUCACAUCAACAAGUAGAUAGAAAUGCAAGUCUGUAAAAUUAGAUUAGGUAAGAGGCUAACGCAAUAAAAAACUGGCCACACUUAUAAAUUUACUUUUAUAUCCCGGAAUCAAAAACUUUAUCACCCUCAAACGACAUAAUGGAAGUAAUAAAUUGAACCAACAAUUACGGUUCUAUCACGAAUAUUACAUCGUAAAUAGCAUGAAGUUCGAUUAUUUCUCACCACUCUCUGUAUGCGCGCAUAUAAUCUGUGGAACACCUGUGUUUUCAGAAAUAACGCGAGCGUAGCUCGUAAGAUAGGGUGAUACGGUCUUUUCAUAAUGGUUCAUCAAGUCAGGAAAGCCGAUGCAUGCCAUUAUAGGGUCCGUGCGAGACAAGCAGCACGAUGCGAAAAGGCGAAGGACGAGAAAGGAAGAAGAAAAGUACGAGGAUACGAAAAAUACUGGGAAAAGACGGGGGAAACAGCAGGGCGACAAUUGUCGCGAGGAAAACGCACGGACCAACUAGAAAUACCAGGCGGACAACCGGGGAAGCCUUUGACCCCGUGACGCGAGCUAAUCAAAGCCUUGGCAGACUGAUUCCGUAUUGCGCUUGCUCCCAUUCUCUCCCUUUCCCUUUCCCUUUCCCUCUGUCCUUCUGUCGUCGGCCAAACAAUGCCUGACAGCGGCAAACUUUCGAAACGUCCAUUUAGGAAAAACUCCAUUUGCACCCAAAUGAAGGCCGCCGCUAACUGAUCCCGCCCCGCGUCUCCGUCUCCUUUCUUCCCUGCAAUUCAACGCUUCGCUCUUGCUAUUCUGUAUAUAACUCUCGCACAACGCUCGCGCGUCUCGUUGUUAGCUUCGCCGUCGUCCGCCCGCGACGCAUCUACGCGUUAACUAUCCCCUAUUGUGCGCCUCGUCAUUACUAACCGCUUUUCUAUCCUCUUUUUUUUUCCAUCAUGAAACUCGGGACGCGCCCGUUGGAGGGAAAAAAAAGAAAACCAACCCGUUAGAGCAGACUCAAACAACCAAGGACAAAGCUCGCCGAGAGCUUUUUCUUUCUUUCCCCCUUUUUUGGGGGAUAACGGAAACAGGAGCCCCCAUUUAGCCAGCCCGUGCCCGAUUUAUCCAUUUUUGCUUCUUUAUUUAUCGAGUUACCCCAGUCUCCUGUCUCCCCUGCGGUCGGUGUACUCCCGGAUACAUCCUUUGAGGGGUGACUUAUACCGCGCGUCCUUUGAGGGUUGCUUUCUUUCGUGUCUCGCGGCAUCGCCGUAUGUAUGCUCUUUCGCUCUUUCGCCCGCGCGCUGUUUUUGCGCGGCGCAAAAAGACAUGUUACUCUCCGCGUUACUCUCUUUCCUUCCUUUUGACUUCUCCCCACCCUCUCCCUACGUAUCCUUCCCGGCAGGAGUUCGAGGAGAAGGAAGUUUUAACCGAAUCAAAGGGAUACACUACGAGAUAUAUUUAGAUUAUUUAAAUUUCAACGUAUUCUUCAGCGCGAUCCUCCGCUCGCACGGAACUUUCGCAGGAACGUUUCGCUGCUACGAAAUUGCCAUAAUUAUAUCGCCAGCAGUAAAUACAACUCUUGAACUUCACAAGCAAUAUGUACCCGCGUGGAAAAGUUCUGCAGUUUAAAUUAUAUACCUGUGACUGCAUCAAACUCUGCAACGUUGGUAUAAAUCACGGAACUUGAAAAUAAAUAAAAAUUACACAUUAUAUCAGAAAAUUAAAAAAAAAUCCAUCGUUAUACGCAGCUCUGCUUCGACCGAUCCAAUUACAGUGUUCGUUUCAUAUUUUAAUGUAAAAUAGUUUUGAAUUUAUAUCCGUGAAACCACCACACACACACAUACACGCACACGUGUAUCGAAGAAAAAAAUUAAAUUGUUUUUUUGGUCUGACAUCUGUAUGAUUUUACUCUCCCUAAAUUUUACAAAAUUAAAUUAAUUAAUAUUAGACGUCUUGAUUAAAUUUAAACAAUUUAAUUAUGUAAAAAAAAUGUUAAUCACACGAAUCCGAGAAAAUCAAACAUAAACGAGUAAUUUGCUUCAAUGAGCGGCAUCAUGAUUUCAUGUUCGUGUGCUCAUUUUGCUCAAUUUGAAUCCGGCUUAACGUAAGAGCCGAAUACGUCAUGUAUUUUCUGUACAUUAAUUAGCUAUUCAAAACCCCUAAUGAAGCUCCGGUGCAUCUAUACGCGUAUUUCUCAAGCGCCUUCUUACGGCUUAAAAUCCCUUUCAUCAAAAGGUCAUCGCGAUAAGGAACUCGAAAUAAUUUGUAUCGCGGCGAUGAUACGAGUGAAACAAUGGAUUAAGGCUACGGGAUUUUACGGGAUGCUCUCCUGUGUAUUUCGCGUCCCGAGGGCGAGCGCGCGUUCACAAACGACCGCGUGCAAUUACAAGCGGGCACUUUGAACACGAGACUCAUCGUUGGUACGUGGUUUACGGCGAGCCGUACGACAUGCUCGACGAAAUUACCACGGGCGAGGAAACGUGUAGCGUGUGGCCGCGCAAAAGAAACCGGAAAGAAACGUAAGGAGGAUACCUCGCGCGAGAGCGAAACGAACAAGUAUCGUCGGAAAGUUUGACGCGGAAACUCGAGAUGUAUCAGGAUUUCCUAUAGGGAGACCGCAGCGAGCAACCAAUCUCAAGUUUACGCGUCUAACUUUUACCUCCUCGCGAAUAUAUCUCGCCCGCAUACGUCGUACGGAGUGCACGUUAUCAGAAAUCACUGAAACGUUAAUGCGAUCCACAAGGCCGCGUGGAACGAUUGCGUGAGCAAUAUAGCUAUUCAAAUUUAUACGUAUAUAAUUCAGAUUUCGCGUUCGUAAUUGCUUUUUAUUAUAAUUAUAACGUGAUUGAAGAAAUAAUUUAAUGAGCCUCGGUAAGGAGCAAUUAAUGAAUCGUUAAUAAAGACUCGACUAAUUAAUUGGAAUCAUCUUUCAAAAUUAUUCCUUUGAAAAUCUUCAAAGACCGCGGCAGUCAACAUUAAUUAAGAAAAGUUAUGUAAAAAGUAAGAUCAACAAUGAGCAAAUUAGAAAUGUCAUAAUGUAUGCAAUAUAAUUCAUUCAUUACGAUAACAUAAAAAUUUUUUAAAUAAUGUACAACACCAUAACUGUUUGCUAUAACUAGAAUGUUGCGCUCGCUGCACUAUAAAAAAAUUAUGUCAAAUCACGGAUUAUUAUAAUUUUUAGGGCUCACUGUUAAAAGUGUAUAUUUACAUACGUAAGAAUAAAGUUAGAAAUAAAAUUAUUGUUCUUUCGAG
rnacentral:lncRNA from 1 species